rnacentral:lncRNA from 1 species
UGUCCUCGGACCGCCUCGAGGGCGCCCGGAGACGCGCGGAGGCAGCAGUCCCGGCUCCGCAGGGAGCUCCACCACGUUUAAGAAAUCGGAUCCGAUGAUAAAGAGGAAAGGAUAAACUUUUAUCCUAGUCACCUCCUGCCGGACGAGGAUUUGCUGGCGCGGAGGCAGAGGGGACAGAAGACCACAGGCCUUUUGGGGAACUCGGAACAAAAGGCCUGACGUGGCAUGUUGGCACACAUUGUACAUCUGCUUUAGACAUUUACAAUGUUCCAAAGCCAAGAAUGGUGCCCUGAAGAUAGGGAUCUUGCCUACCCCAUAUGGGCAUUUCUUUAAGGAUAAGCAUGUCUUCCCAGAAGCUAAGGAUUAAUUACUCAUCUGGUUUAACUCAUCUCCUGACCACUGACCUGCUGACCAGCAACUUGCUGCAGUCACCUGGUGAACACUGACCUGCUGUGCUACCAAAGUAUCUCGUGACUGUAGUACAAGAGAUCUUCCUGUCACAUGUGAUGUAUGCUCUUUGUUCCAAUGAUGAGGAUCAAGGCUGCCCCUGCCCCAGGGAGAGAAGCCCAAGGCGUCCUGCCCUACAUACUGAUCUAUAUCAUCCUCGGGAAGCACAGGACGUCCUGACUUAAUCCGAUCUGAGUCUUACCUAAAGUUAUAGGACCACCCAAUAACCAGACCCCACCUGCACUGAUACUAUUUUAAUGACUUUUUUACAUAAUCUUUCCUUUGUCUUGUAAAAAGAUAAUUGACAUACCUAUGCCUUAAAUUUAGCCCUACCCUCAACCAGUGUUUGCAGCUCUUACUGCCUGUGGGUCCUGUCCCCUUGCUGCUCCAUGCUAUUCUCUGAAUAAAAGAGCACUACUGCCAAACCUCAAGAGUCCAUGAAAUCUUUCUUUCGACUCCUCGGCUCACCGAGCCUACAUCACCAAGAUGGUAUAGAACCAUGUUGUCCCCCCACUUCUUCAGAGAACUUCCUUUCUUGGUUGAAAAGUUCUCCUGGGCUAUACUCCUCAAAUUGGUUCAUCAUAAACUCCCCUCAGUUUUGAUUUUUAGAUUGAUUAUGGAGUAUUUGUGUCAACAUCUACCUGUGC